rnacentral:rRNA from 1 species
GAUGAACGCUGGCGGCGUGCCUAAUACAUGCAAGUCGAGCGAACGGACGAGAAGCUUGCUUCUCUGAUGUUAGCGGCGGACGGGUGAGUAACACGUGGAUAACCUACCUAUAAGACUGGGAUAACUUCGGGAAACCGGAGCUAAUACCGGAUAAUAUUUUGAACCGCAUGGUUCAAAAGUGAAAGACGGUCUUGCUGUCACUUAUAGAUGGAUCCGCGCUGCAUUAGCUAGUUGGUAAGGUAACGGCUUACCAAGGCAACGAUGCAUAGCCGACCUGAGAGGGUGGUCGGCCACACUGGAACUGAGACACGGUCCAGACUCCUACGGGAGGCAGCAGUAGGGAAUCUUCCGCCAUGGGCGAAAGCCUGACGGAGCAACGCCGCGUGAGUGAUGAAGGUCUUCGGAUCGUAAAACUCUGUUAUUAGGGAAGAACAUAUGUGUAAGUAACUGUGCACAUCUUGACGGUACCUAAUCAGAAAGCCACGGCUAACUACGUG